rnacentral:rRNA from 1 species
UACACAUGCAGUCGAGCGGUAGAGAGAAGCUUGCUUCUCUUGAGAGCGGCGGACGGGUGAGUAAUGCCUAGGAAUCUGCCUGGUAGUGGGGGAUAACGUUCGGAAACGGACGCUAAUACCGCAUACGUCCUACGGGAGAAAGCAGGGGACCUUCGGGCCUUGCGCUAUCAGAUGAGCCUAGGUCGGAUUAGCUAGUUGGUGAGGUAAUGGCUCACCAAGGCGACGAUCCGUAACUGGUCUGAGAGGAUGAUCAGUCACACUGGAACUGAGACACGGUCCAGACUCCUACGGGAGGCAGCAGUGGGGAAUAUUGGACAAUGGGCGAAAGCCUGAUCCAGCCAUGCCGCGUGUGUGAAGAAGGUCUUCGGAUUGUAAAGCACUUUAAGUUGGGAGGAAGGGUUGUAGAUUAAUACUCUGCAAUUUUGACGUUACCGACAGAAUAAGCACCGGCUAACUCUGUGCCAGCAGCCGCGGUAAUACAGAGGGUGCAAGCGUUAAUCGGAAUUACUGGGCGUAAAGCGCGCGUAGGUGGUUUGUUAAGUUGGAUGUGAAAUCCCCGGGCUCAACCUGGGAACUGCAUUCAAAACUGACUGACUAGAGUAUGGUAGAGGGUGGUGGAAUUUCCUGUGUAGCGGUGAAAUGCGUAGAUAUAGGAAGGAACACCAGUGGCGAAGGCGACCACCUGGACUAAUACUGACACUGAGGUGCGAAAGCGUGGGGAGCAAACAGGAUUAGAUACCCUGGUAGUCCACGCCGUAAACGAUGUCAACUAGCCGUUGGAAG